UGCGUAGGCGGCCUUGUCAGUCAGGUGUGAAAUCCCACGGCUCAACCGUGGAACUGCGCUUGAAACUGCAAGGCUUGAGUGAGACAGGGGUGUGUGGAACUUCUAGUGGAGCGGUGAAAUGUGUUGAUAUUAGAAGGAACACCGGUGGCGAAAGCGACACACUGGGUCUUAACUGACGCUGAGGCACGAAAGGCUAGGGAGGCAACG
rnacentral:rRNA from 1 species